rnacentral:rRNA from 1 species
CCCUUAGAUGUUCUGGACCGCACACGCGCUACACUGAAGGAGGCAGCGUGUACUCCUGGAUCGAAAGAUUUGGGUAACCCGCGAAUCUCCUUCGUGCUAGGGAUUGAGGUUUGCAAUUAUCCUUCAUGAACGAGGAAUUCCCAGUAAGUGCAAGUCAUAAGCUUGCGCUGACUACGUCCCUGCCCUUUGUACACACCGCCCGUCGCUACUACCGAUUGAAUGAUUUAGUGAGGACUUCGGACUGGGACCGAUGCGGCUUUCGGGCUGCGUCGGUAUUCUGGAAAGAUGUCCAAACUGUAUCAUUUAGAGGAAGUAAAAGUCGUAACA